rnacentral:rRNA from 1 species
CAACCCGAUGCAAACAUGCGAAUACCGGAGAAUGUUAUCACGGGAGGACACACGGCGGGUGCUAACGUCCGUCGUGAAGAGGGAAACAACCCAGACCGCCAGCUAAGGUCCCAAAGUCAUGGUUAAGUGGGAAACGAUGUGGGAAGGCCCAGACAGCCAGGAUGUUGGCUUAGAAGCAGCCAUCAUUUAAAGAAAGCGUAAUAGCUCACUGGUCGAGUCGGCCUGCGCGGAAGAUGUAACGGGGCUAAACCAUGCACCGAAGCUGCGGCAGCGACACUAUGUGUUGUUGGGUAGGGGAGCGUUCUGUAAGCCUGUGAAGGUGUGCUGUGAGGUAUGCUGGAGGUAUCAGAAGUGCGAAUGCUGACAUAAGUAACGAUAAAGCGGGUGAAAAGCCCGCUCGCCGGAAGACCAAGGGUUCCUGUCCAACGUUAAUCGGGGCAGGGUGAGUCGACCCCUAAGGCGAGGCCGAAAGGCGUAGUCGAUGGGAAACAGGUUAAUAUUCCUGUACUUGGUGUUACUGCGAAGGGGGGACGGAGAAGGCUAUGUUGGCCGGGCGACGGUUGUCCCGGUUUAAGCGUGUAGGCUGGUUUUCCAGGCAAAUCCGGAAAAUCAAGGCUGAGGCGUGAUGACGAGGCACUACGGUGCUGAAGCAACAAAUGCCCUGCUUCCAGGAAAAGCCUCUAAGCAUCAGGUAACAUCAAAUCGUACCCCAAACCGACACAGGUGGUCAGGUAGAGAAUACCAAGGCGCUUGAGAGAACUCGGGUGAAGGAACUAGGCAAAAUGGUGCCGUAACUUCGGGAGAAGGCACGCUGAUAUGUAGGUGAAGUCCCUCGCGGAUGGAGCUGAAAUCAGUCGAAGAUACCAGCUGGCUGCAACUGUUUAUUAAAAACACAGCACUGUGCAAACACGAAAGUGGACGUAUACGGUGUGACGCCUGCCCGGUGCCGGAAGGUUAAUUGAUGGGGUCAGCGCAAGCGAAGCUCUUGAAUCGAAGCCCCGGUAAACGGCGGCCGUAACUAUAACGGUCCUAAGGUAGCGAAAUUCCUUGUCGGGUAAGUUCCGACCUGCACGAAUGGCGUAAUGAUGGCCAGGCUGUCUCCACCCGAGACUCAGUGAAAU